ACAGCAGCAGCCGCGGUAAUACGUAGGGUGCAAGCGUUAAUCGGAAUUACUGGGCGUAAAGCGUGCGCAGGCGGUUAUAUAAGACAGAUGUGAAAUCCCCGGGCUCAACCUGGGAACUGCAUUUGUGACUGUAUAGCUAGAGUACGGCAGAGGGGGAUGGAAUUCCGCGUGUAGCAGUGAAAUGCGUAGAUAUGCGGAGGAACACCGAUGGCGAAGGCAAUCCCCUGGGCCUGUACUGACGCUCAUGCACGAAAGCGUGGGGAGCAAACAGGAUUAGAGACCCCAGUAGUCCCUGUCUCUUAUAC
rnacentral:rRNA from 1 species